GUGUCAGCCGCCGCGGUAAUACGUAGGGUGCGAGCGUUAAUCGGAAUUACUGGGCGUAAAGCGUGCGCAGGCGGCUUUGCAAGACAGAUGAGAAAUCCCCGGGCUCAACCUGGGAACUGCAUUUGUGACUGCAUGGCUAGAGUGCGGCAGAGGGGGAUGGAAUUCCGCGUGUAGCAGUGAAAUGCGUAGAUAUGCGGAGGAACACCGAUGGCGAAGGCAAUCCCCUGGGCCUGCGCUGACGCUCAUGCACGAAAGCGUGGGGAGCAAACAGGAUUAGAAACCCCCGUAGUCC
rnacentral:rRNA from 1 species